rnacentral:rRNA from 1 species
GGCUCAGAUUGAACGCUGGCGGAAUGCUUUACACAUGCAAGUCGAACGGUAACAGGUUAAGCUGACGAGUGGCGAACGGGUCGAGUAAUGCAUCGGAACGUGCCCAGUCGUGGGGGAGUAACGCAGCGAAAGCUGUGCUAAUACCGCAUACGAUCUAUGGAUGAAAGCGGGGGACCGGUAAGGCCUCGCGCGAUUGGAGCGGCCGAUGUCAGAUUAGCUAGUUGGUGGGGUAAAAGCUCACCAAGGCGACGAUCUGUAGCUGGUCUGAGAGGACGACCAGCCACACUGGAACUGAGACACGGUCCAGACUCCUACGGGAGGCAGCAGUGGGGAAGUUUUGGACAAUGGGCGCAAGCCUGAUCCAGCAAUGCCGCGUGCAGGAUGAAGGCCUUCGGGUUGUAAACUGCUUUUGUACGGAGCGAAAAGGCUCUCUCUAAUACAGGGGGCUCAUGACGGUACCGUAAGAAUAAGCACCGGCUAACUACGUG